rnacentral:lncRNA from 1 species
GACGCUUCACUCCGCAUCCACCCUCUUCUCUCAGUCUCUCUCCGCCCCCAUCCGACCUCCGGCGGCCCGCCGUCCCCUUCGCUGGAGCCCUUUCCCCCUCCGGAUCCCGUCGAAAUCCGAAUCCGCCGGCUACGGUCGCUGCCCGCCGAUCUCACGAGUCGCGCGCUCUACCCAAAACACUCUCGCGGUUGCCGUGGCCGCGCUUCUAUCUUCGCGGCGGAGGAGAAGAUCCCG